rnacentral:rRNA from 1 species
AGUGAACGCUGGCGGCAGGCCUAACACAUGCAAGUCGAACGGCAGCACAAGAGAGCUUGCUCUCUGGGUGGCGAGUGGCGGACGGGUGAGGAAUGCAUCGGAAUCUGCCCAUUUGUGGGGGAUAACCUCGGGAAACCGGGACUAAUACCGUAUACGACCUACGGGUGAAAGCAGGGGAUCUUCGGACCUUGCGCAGAUGGAUGAGCCGAUGCCGGAUUAGCUAGUUGGAGGGGUAAAGGCCCACCAAGGCGACGAUCCGUAGCUGGUCUGAGAGGAUGAUCAGCCACACUGGGACUGAGACACGGCCCAGACUCCUACGGGAGGCAGCAGUGGGGAAUAUUGGACAAUGGGCGCAAGCCUGAUCCAGCCAUGCCGCGUGUGUGAAGAAGGCCUUCGGGUUGUAAAGCACUUUUGUUGGGAAAGAAAAGCAGCCGGUUAAUACCCGGUUGUCAUGACGGUACCCAAAGAAUAAGCACCGGCUAACUUCGUG